UGGGGGAUAUUGCACAAUGGGCGAAAGCCUGAUGCAGCGACGCCGCGUGGGGGAUGAAGGCCUUCGGGUUGUAAACUUCUUUUGCUCUGAACAAGGCGCACCAUGGGGUGUGUUGAGUGUAGGGGUUGAUUAGCGCCGGCUAACUACGUGCCAGCAGCCGCGGUAAUACGUAGGGCGCGAGCGUUGUCCGGAAUUAUUGGGCGUAAAGGGCUUGUAGGUGGCUGGUUGCGUCUGUCGUGAAAGCUCAUGGCUUAACUGUGGGUUUGCGGUGGGUACGGGCUGGCUUGAGUUCAGUAGGGGAGGCUGGGAUUCCUGGUGUAGCGGUGGAAUGCGCAUAUAUCAGGAGGAAUACCGGUGGCGAAGGCGGGUCUCUGGGCUGUUACUGACACUGAGGAGCGAAAGCAUGGGGAGCGAACAGG
rnacentral:rRNA from 1 species